rnacentral:rRNA from 1 species
AGUGAACGCUGGCGGUAGGCCUAACACAUGCAAGUCGAACGGCAGCACAGUAAGAGCUUGCUCUUACGGGUGGCGAGUGGCGGACGGGUGAGGAAUACAUCGGAAUCUACUUUUUCGUGGGGGAUAACGUAGGGAAACUUACGCUAAUACCGCAUACGACCUACGGGUGAAAGCAGGGGAUCUUCGGACCUUGCGCGAUUGAAUGAGCCGAUGUCGGAUUAGCUAGUUGGCGGGGUAAAGGCCCACCAAGGCGACGAUCCGUGGCUGGUCUGAGAGGAUGAUCAGCCACACUGGAACUGAGACACGGUCCAGACUCCUACGGGAGGCAGCAGUGGGGAAUAUUGGACAAUGGGCGCAAGCCUGAUCCAGCCAUACCGCGUGGGUGAAGAAGGCCUUCGGGUUGUAAAGCCCUUUUGUUGGGAAAGAAAAGCAGCAGGUUAAUACCCCGCUGUCCUGACGGUACCCAAAGAAUAAGCACCGGCUAACUUCGUG